rnacentral:lncRNA from 1 species
CGGACACUGCGGUAGGACAGGGCUUGAUGACAUUAGUUGCCCAGCUGCUGGUGCUACCGCGACGUACUUGGAGCAACGCUUCUGCUUAUUUCCUCUGCCCACACCUUAUAUUUGUUGUGUUUAUCGAGACCUGGCCUGUCUCUGCCUCGUUGAAGACAAAUGGACACAAGUA